CUGACCAGGCUCCAAGAACACAGAGCCAAUCACCAAGUAAUCCAAGCCAGCUCACUGAAGCCCAGCCAUGGUGACCCUUGUCUCUCAGACACCGGGGUCCCUGCCAAGCAAGACUGUUCUCAGUGGAGUGCGCAUGUCGCAGGCUUGACAACUGGCCCCUUCCCCAGCAGGCUGCUUCAAAGCCCUUCAGGGAUCAAGCGCCAGGAGGAUGCAUGUUGUCGCUCAGUGCUGGGGUGUGUUACUGGCAAAGAUACCCAAGGAAGCUGGAGAAAGCUGACCUACAUCGCAUCUUUGCUUGGCAAUGAUCAGACCCCAAACUGACUUGGUGAGACAGAGCUUCCACCAAAGGGAAGAAUGAGAUUCCCUUUCAUUCCAAGACACCAUGGAUGUCAAGUGGCGCUUUCCUGGGGGAAGCGCUGGUUCACACCAGCCUGAACAAAAUGUUUCUGGUGUGACCGAUUCACUGGGCACAGUGUGGAUUCCACCGCCAGCACUUAGAUGGAAGUCUGCACCUUUCAGUUUCUUCAACAGAACAGCAAGGCACAGAAAUGCAUUCUCCAGCCCCAGGGCACUGGCACACGGAGCAGGAAGGAAACAGAACGAGCGGAGGAAAGCGCCAGGCAUGGAUUCUAUGGUUCAUAGGCAUGUGAGGUAAGAGGCUUUGGUCCAGCGGCCUUCACAGUGUGGAGGUUUGGCACAACGGUGAUGGGGAAAUGGCUUGCUGUAGCUCCUCACAGAGCUGGUGGCUUUAAGACGAGUGACCUAACUUCUUCGAGGCCCAGUUUCUUCAGCCAUGAGAUGAAAUGGAGCAGUGCCUGCCACACACACCCUUGCUGGGGCUUCCGAAUGAGGCCAUCUCCUGGCGUCCCAGUACACGACAGAGUAAGCGCUUAAUAAAAGCUGUCUUUCACGAUUACUAAUGGGAAAUCCGGCCUGGAAACUCCACAGCAAAUGUCUUUUCUUUUCUCCCGAGGGCUUCUCCAGCAAGCCCAUAACUCCGGGUCCUGGUGAAACACCUGCAGUAAACAUUUACAAGUGUGAUGUAUGAACUGCAUUCUCAACCCAGGGAGGAUGGCGGAGGGGGCUGAAGAUGGAUGGCUCCUCACCCCCAAAUCCCAGCCUGAUUUGCCACUCUCAGCUCAGCUCACCUCCCUUCUCCGUACUGGCUAUGCCCAGGCCCCUGUACAAGCCUACUUCCCAGAGGAAGGCACAGAACAAGUGUUGAACAAUUGCCGUUCAUUGUUUAUGGAUGGGAAGUCUUACUGUGGGAGGCUGCUGUAGUCUACUUUGGGUUGUGAAGCUCCCCUAGAGGCUCAUGGGCUGGGGUGCCAGGACGCUCGGGUGGAGACUUGUGAUGAGGUCAUCAGGUACCAUCUCUGGCAGGGGUGGAUGUUGGUCUCAUGGAGUAAGUAAGUUCUUACACGACAGGUAGCCAUAUAGCAAAGCAACUCUAUCUGCAUACCUAGUCUGAAAUGCCAUGGGACCCUUCCUCCUUCUCUGCUGUGUUUGGAGCAGUCAAAGGGAGUCUGGCUAGGAGCCCAGCACCAUAUUGUAGACGCUAUCCAGUCACCGGAAUUAUAAGUCAUGCAAGUCUCGGUCUCAGGCCUUUUGUCACAGCAACUGGAAAGGGACCAAUACAGAUGUUUCCAGGUGAGCUUUGGGUGGGGAGUGGAGGGAAAUUGAAGUGGAGCGAAAGUGGCGGAAGUGAGCGCUGCUGUUCUGUAGCUCGGCUCUAUCUUAGCGGUACCUUCCGGAAGAUACUGUGGGGCACACCCCAGAGCAGCCUUCCCCAAGAGGAAGGAAGCUGCGAACCGAGCCACCCAAUUCUGGCAGUUAGGUAGUCAUGGCUGAGGAAGGCAACUCCAGGCAUAGUAUCCUGUGCCUGAGCCAGAGGCGAUCAGAGCUGGGAAGCCAUCAGCUGUAGAAAGCUGGCCCAGAGAUCAGGCCUGUGAUGGACAGAGCUGGCCACACCCUCCUAACAAUGUGCGUGAAGGAUUUCCUGGGAGGGUUUUGUGUUACUGUACUGCCCCAGGAGUAUGAGUCCUGAGCUCAGGGCUUCAUGAUUUCAGUUGUGUGGACAUAGCUACCAUCCAACAAACUGGCUCCCAGUGGACAUUGGGAACAUAUUCUAGUGCUUUCUCCCUUUGAAAUGUCAGCAGAACGCAGGCUUGGCUCCUUCAUGGCAAGCCUGAGCUGAGAGCAUCCGAUCAUCUGUCCUGGGUAGCACAGAGCCACUGCUUUGGGGAAAGGGUUGGCUGACAUCUGGACACCAGAGCUGUGGCCCCCGACACCAUGAUCUGGGCUUUUCUGUGCCCCCCCCCACUCUGUGUAUCAAUCAAUCAAUCAUUUACCACUUUGUUUAUUGAUACAGGCUCUCUUAGUGAACCUGGAACCCCCUGAUUCAGCGAGACUGGCUGGCCAGCAAGCCCCUGGGAUCUGCCUGCCUCUACUUCUCCAGCUCUGGGGUGCAAGAGUGCAUCCCCAUGAUGGGCUUUUUAAAACGUCGUGAGGCUGGAGAUGCUGGAUAAAGCUGAGGUCCUUGGGCCUGUUGCUGACAAUUCUAUAGAACCUUCUAUAUAGAGAAGGCAAAGGAGUUGGUUCCCACCUCCCCUUAGAGAAACCACUGGAAGCAUGAGGAACUGCCAAUAAAAAACUCGGCGAACACUCGGAAUGGGAAUGAAGGAGAAUAUACUGUAAGCAGUAGAGAGACUCAUUGCAGCGCUGGACCCUCAGUGAAGAGCCCGCAGCGCAAACGACAUCAUGUAAUUAUCAUGAGUUAGGCCAAGAGGCAGACUGGGCCGAGCUGGGCUGUGAACCCUGAUCUGCUAGGCAGCCCUAUGCACAGUAGCCCUUCCUCUCCUGGCUCCAGCUCUCUGACCCCUGUGUGAUCCUCCUGUCCAGUCACAGCAAAGGGCUGCUCGGAAGCCACUGUCUCAUUAAAAUAUGGAAAUAGCUCUCACCUCGCUUUGCCCAGCCCCAGUGAUCAACUUUCCAAAUCGGUUUUGCUGUUUUAUUCAGCAUAACAUACAUUUGUUAAGUCUUCAAGCAGUAAACACCACCUGCAAAGUGCCUUUAAUAUUUAAUGUAACAAAAAUUGUUGUGAAAAUAAAUCCAGUCACAUGGAAAGGCAGCAGGAAAGACAGGAAGCGGCCCUGAGGGAGCUGCGACUGCGUAGAGCAGAGUGGCCCAGGGUUACCUUAGCAGAGCCAUCUUGGGAAGAGUGCUGGCUAAUGCCAGAGUGUACCAGAUACUUAGUGCUGAAAAGGGCUCAGCCAUCAGCACUUUCAGCUAAGCAGGCUUUGAUUCCCAAAGCAGCCGCAUUACCUAGGGUUGUGAGAUCUGUGCUUAAGGGUGGUGCAGGUAUACCGGUCCUUGCUUCCCAGACACUCUUUCUCUCCCUCCAUCCUGCUUCCCGCCCUGGUGUAGGGCCUGGGGAUUGAUGGUUCGGGGACAAAAUGCCUUGCUGAGUCAAUCUGAAGACCUGAGCUUCAGCCUCCAGAAAAAAAAGCCUAUGUGAAAAAGCCAGGUGUGGGGACAUGCUUAUAAUCCCAGGGCUGAGGAAGCGAGGCCUUGGUGACCGGAUAACCAAGCCUGGUAGGCAAGCUCCGGGUUCAGGGAGAGACCCUGUCUCAAACAUCAAGGUGAAGAGUGACUGGACAAAGUACCUGACAUCUUUAGAUGCAUGCAUACAUGCUGUCAUGCACAUUGCACUUAAACCUUUUAGCUUAUGUCCCCGUAGGUUAACGGGGACAUGCUAACCAUGUUGGUGUCAUUGCAUGGCUACUUUAGGUGGGUGAUGAUGUGUAAGGUAGCUGCAUGUGAGGUAAGACACAGCUGCUGCCGCUGCUGUUGGAGAGACUCAUCCCCCUGCACCAGCCCCCUGACGUCUCUGAACUUUCUCAGUGCAGAGUGCUCAUGGGAAAGUCUGGCUGCCUCCCAAGCAUCACAGGGGCUGACUAACUGUCUGUGGCCAGGAGGUGGAAUCCAACUGUGGCCAGGACUUUCCUAUCUGCAUAUGACCCUUUCAUCUCAACGAAUGGCUCUGCCCUGUUCUCAGGUCCUUGAGUACAGAGCACAGUGGUUCCUGUUUCCCUUCCCUUCACCAGCGGAACCUGUGGCCAGUGCUCUGGCCUGAACCCAGUGUCUCCCCACCUGACUCACCUCCUCUUGGUAUGGGAUGUACUUCUGUCUAUGUGUUUUCUUUAUUGGUUGAUGAAUAAAGGUGUUUCAGCCAAUGGCUUAGUAGAGUAAAGCCAGGUGUGAAAUUCGAGCAGAGAUACAGACAGAAAGAGAAGGCAGAGUCAGGCAGACGUCAUGUAGCUGCCAAAGGAGAAAGAUGCCAUAACUUUGCCAGUAAACCACAGCCUCCUGGUGAUGUACAGAUGAAUAGAAAUUGGUUAAUUUAAGAUGUCAGAGCUAGUUAGGAAUAUGCAUAAGCCAUUGGCCAAACAGUGUUUAACAGUGUUGUAACUAAUAUAGUUUCUGUGUGAUUAUUCGGGUUUGGGCAGCUGGGAAACAAGAGUCUCCAUCUCCAUCCUCUCUUCAUUACCCUCUUCUGGGUAAUGAUGUCAUGUAGCCCAGGCUGACUUCACUAUGUAGACAAGGAUGACCUUGAUCUUCUGUUCCUCCUGCCCUUACCUUCUGAGUGCUGGCAUUGCAGGCAUGGUGGCCCAUGCUUAGCAUGCCAGCAUCUUGUUUAAAGGACCACAUAAGAAAUGCUUCAGGCCACACACCUCUGACAUAACGCUUCAGCUUGGCUGGCUUUGGUGUGAAUGGAGUAAGGAGCGACACAUGAACAUGGGCUUGCCCGGGUUCUGAUAGAAUUGUUUUUACAAAGAAAGUAGCCCCAAAGCCAUAACAUGCCAAGUCCUGCCUGUCCAACUCUGACCCCGUAAUUGUCUCAUGUGGGUCAAAGAAGAAUGUCCCACUGGUCCCUUGCUUCUAAUCUUACCAUUCUGCCAAGAUCCAAUCUCACAGUGGCCACUGUGGUUUUUUUUUUUCUAUUUUUUUUUAUUGAGAAUAAGAAAAAAAAAGUUUCCGCCUCCUCCCAGCCUCCCAUUUCCCUCCCCCUUCCCCCUCUCUUCUCCCCCUCCCCCCUCUCUUCUCCCCCUCCCCCCACUCCUCUCCCCCUCAUCUCCUAUCCAAAGAGCAGUCAUGGUUCCCUGCCCUGUGGAAAGUCCAAGGUCCUCCCCGCUCCGUCCAUGUCUAGGAAGGUGAACAUCCAAACUGGAUGAGACAGUGGGGCUGAUCUAUUGGGAGCUCACCAAAGCCAGCUGGACUGUGACUGAAACAGCAUGGGAUAAAACCGGACUCUCACAUCAUGGCGAACAAUGAGGACUGAUGAGAAGCCAAGGUCAAUGGCAAGGGGUUUUGAUCCUACUUCAUGUUCUGGCUUGAUGGGAGCCUAUCCAGUUUGGAUGUCCACUGUGGUUUUGAAAACACAUUUGAGGAAUGUCUUAUCUUGAUCCAUCCCCAUUGCCCUUCAGUGUAAACCAAGGUCUUUCCCCCCAUCAUCUCUGUACUCUUUAAAUCUAGCUGUCGCUCCUCUGAGUUCUCAUCUCUGUCCCCUCACCACAGUGCAGUGGUCAUUGAUUUCCUUUCUGCUCUCCUACAUACCUGUUCCUCUUCUUACAUGUCCUGGAACAUUCUUUCUCUGGGGCUUCCCAGGUUCAUCCUAUUAUUCAUCUCUUGGUUGUACAGUGUGAUCUGCAUAAGUUUCUAGCUACAGUUCCCUCCUGCCUUCUCCAUCACCUCACUUGGAAUAUCACCUUACUGACAAGCUUGUCUGUCUUCACAUCUGAAGGGUAAGGUCCAUGAGAUCGAGAACCAGGUUGUGUGCUGAGAAAAGCACGUGGUUGUGGUGAUAUUUUGUUUGUGCUUUAGCAAAUAAUGCUUGCCUGAAGACCAGCGUGCGGAACUAGCCAUAUUAGUUAGCCAUAGAGGCCAGGCAGUGGUGGCACACACCUUUAAUCCCAGAACUCGGGAGAUAGAGGCAGAGUUCUAGGCCACCCUGGGCUAUACGAUAUUGACUCAGUCUAAAAGAGAAACAGAACCAUGCGGUGGUGGCUCACAUCUUUAAUCCCAGCACUAGGGAGGUAGAGACAGGAAGCAAUAUGGUUGGGUGGAGAGAGGACUAUAAGGUGGAAGGAGACAGGCACUCAGGAUUCAGUCUGAGGUUUUGUAGAAACAGGAUACCCCUUUCGGUCUGAGGAUUUUAGAGAGGUUAAGAACUAGUAGCUGGCUGUUCUGCUUUUCUGAGCUUUCAGCUUUUAUCCCCUAAUAUCUGUCUCUGUUUCUUUAAAUUAUUAAAACCAAUUAGAAUCCAUGCUACACGUAGUAGUCAGCAACCCUCACAUGUUUGUUCAGUGAGGAAGGAACACACUCUGUGUUUUAGGCAGGUCCUGUUGGCCACCUCUGAUUGUCCAGCUUGGAUCAAGCCCUCCUUCCAAUGCCUGGACAGGCCUUCCAAGCAGCUUCUUCCACUGUCAGUGCUAUAUGUCAGUAACCUCAAGACCAGACUAGGGGCAGGCAACUUUUUCUCAAUGCUGAUCUCUGCACAAAACCACCCUGCAACAGCUAUGAUCGAUACUGUGGAGGUCAGGGAGGGAGGGAGGGGGAGGAGACACGGUUGUUCCUUGUCCCUGCUUUCCCUGACUUAGGCAAGGUUCCCAAGCUCACUCCCAACUCUUUGGUGAUCCCCUAAACCUCACUUCUCUCACUCUCCUGUCCUCCUCCUCCUCUAGUCACCAGGUCUCUGGGAAAGAUGCUGAUAAUUGGCAACGCGUAGGCUUCCCUUUGUCCCCUUUGCCCCAGACCCCUGACUAUGUUGAAUGGGGCCAUGGCCCUGGAAAAUGAUGCAUGUGGUAGAGUAGGAAUGGCCCUCAUAGACUCGUGUUUGAUUGCUUGGUCCUAGAGAGUGGCACUAUUGGAGGUAUGGCCUUGUUGGAGGAAGUGGGUCACUGUGGGCAGGCUUUGAGGUCUCAGAAUCUCGAGUACUGCCAGUGUGUCACAGUCUCUGUUGCUUGUGGAUCAACAUGUAUAACUCUCAGCUACCUCUCCAGUACCAUGUUUGCCUGCAUGUUGCCAUUUUUUCCGCCAUAAUGGACUAAACCUCUGAAACUGGAAGUCAUCCCCAAUUAAAUGUUUUCAAACUUUGUAAGAGUUGCCAUGGUUGUGGUGUCUCUUCACAGCAAUAGAAACCCUAAGACAAUGCCCCUUGCCAGCCUCUUCUGCCGUUGUGAGAGUGGCCAAUAAGAUACCCAGCUAGGGCCUCCCAAACGGGAUGUGAGUAGAUCCAGUCUUGGUGGCUCUAUCUUGGGUUUGAGCCAAACAUCAAGAGUAUUAGUGCUUGAAGGAUACUUUGGUCACCACACUGACAGCUCUGGGUGUGUUCAGCUACAUCCUCAUAUAAGAAAAAGAGGGAGAUUUUUUUUUCAUGUCUGAAAAGGCAGCAAUCCCUGUAAGCAGAGGCUGCACUUUAGUUUCCUGGCCACCCAGCCCCAAAUAAUCACACAAAAACUACAUAAAUUACACUACUAUUUGACCAAUGGCUUAGGUGUAGUCCUAGCUAGCUUUUGCAUCUUAAAUUAGCUCAUUUAUAUUAAUCUCUGUAUCAACAUUAGGUUGUUAUCUAUGGUAAGGUUCUGGUGUCUUUCUUCUUUGGCAGGUACAUGGUGUCUCUUUGACUCCACCUACUCUCUCUCUAUAUAUCUCCGUUAAGAUUUUCCCUCCUGGCUUUGAUCUACUAAGUCAUUGACUGAAACAGCUUUAUUCAUCAGCCAAUAAAAGCAGCACAUAUACAGAAGGACAUCCCACACCCAAUCCCAUAGAGUUAGGACUCUACUGCUAAGACUUUAUUUAGUCUUACCCACUCCCUCCAAUCACAGUUGUGUUGGGGGUUAGCGCUUGAGCAUAUGAAUGCAGUGGAAGACACAGUUCAGUCCGUAGCAGAUAGAAUUACCUCAUUUUUAUCCUUCCUUCUGCCUUCUUCUCACCUGGAAUCCAGUUGUAGUGGCUUGAGCUUCAGCUGCGAUGUUGGACCUAACAGUCACUUUGAGAACAAGCGCCAGUUGCUUGAAAUGGAAGCAUGGGAAGAUGGAGGGAACCCAGCUGACUUUACAACACCCUUGCAUCAUCAGGGACUUGCUAGGAUUUGCUUUAUGGCAACGCUUUGCCUCUCAACCAUGCUGAGCACUAGAGUAAGCAGUAGAAAUACUCAUGGCCAGACACUGAUACAAUUGAUCCGCCGGGAGCAGCUUUAGCAUCAUGCUUUUUUUCUUAAGUCCCCUUGAUGAUUCUAGCAUGUGAAGGUUGAGCAUACCGAGUUAAAGGAAAAAACUCUUACAGACUGGAGGGCUGGCUCAACGGGCCCAGUGCUUGCUAGCAAAGCCUGAACAUCAAGGCUUAGCUCUCUGGCAGUCAUGCAGAGGUCUGGCAGGUGUAGAGGCCACCUAUAAUUCCAGCCCCCGGGAAGCGGGAAUUGACAUGAUAAGAACAAGCUGUCCUGCAAGACUGGCCAAAUACGCAGGUUCCGGGUUCAGUGAGAGACCCUGUCUCCAUAUAAGGUAGAGAGUGGUCAAGAAAAAACAGUUAGCAUCAACUUCCACCUUCACAUGGAUGUCUUCAUCUGCACACAUGCACACACGCAUGCACACACACUGAAGCUGUGGACACACACCACACAUUUAUGCACAUGCUUUAAAUCCUUGCAUAAGAGAAUCAACUGCAUUUUAAUUAAUGUUAUUUUGGCUUCGUUACAUGCCGGCUAACCCAACACACAGCAAUCAGAAAUGGGCCAACCCAGCGAGUCUAGAGAUUUCCAGAACAACAUCCACUCAAAGCAAACGGAGCCCUGGCCACUUCCUCCUAGGUCCAAUGUGCUAUGUAGUGACAGAGCUGUGCAGUGUUCAGGAGCACUCUCCACCCCUCUACCCACAUGUUUCGAACAGUGCGCGCAGCUAAACAUAAAACCCCAAUAGCCACACGGCUGCUGUCAACAGGCAGCCUUUCUCAAAGUGCGUUGCCUUCCUGAGGCCCUUAGAGGCUGGCCACCCCCUUCCUUUCUGUGCCUCAAAUGUCUAACCCAGGGCACAUUCCAAGUGGAAAGAGGUCCGAGGGCAGACCACAGCUUGUUGAUGAGGGACUGGACUUCAAGCCACUGCUCUAUCAUCACUUAAGUGCUGAAGGCUCUUGACCAAGUAGCUUAACUUCUCUGUGCUUUAGACACACAACCCUGUGCCCUGUGCAAACAGGAGACUCUCAUGCAGGAUCCAGGAUACCAGUGAGGAUUACAUGAUUUUUUUUUUCACAGUCCCUGGCUCAUAGUAAUGAUACAGCAAAUGCCAGCUGUCACUGAAGGAUGUGGCUAGCUGCUCUAUCUGUGUCAUAAGCCCUAUGGGUAGUGGGGUAGUUCUUCCCCUCCAUUGCUGGAAAAUGGCCCCAAACUGGGUUGCUUUUAUGAAGUGGGCACUAAAUGAGCAAACAUGUGUCUGGAAAUAAAGGUAAUUCAUCCCUGGGGAGAUAGCAUCUCCCAGGUUCAGGGGUUAAUGGGCUCUGAGGAUUCAUAACAAAAGGUUCCCGGGACAAAUUGGCUGCUGAACUGAGCAGCCAUUGUUCCUGAGACAGCUCUUCAGCUGGAUCCCAUUUGCUAGCAUGGCUGCCGCAGAAACAAAUUAAAAGGCAAGCCCCCUCAGAGAUAGCAGCCACCGAGCUGGAGGGCUGAGCGCUCAGGAAGUCUGAGCCUGAGACACAGGGGCCUUGCUGCUCUGUCAGCUGCCAGCCUGUGCCUGCUGUUCUCUGCGAGGCUGGAUAGGAGCCAGCCCCUGCCAGCAUGAGCUCCCGGGGAAGCGUGGGAGCUGCCAGGCACUGGCCAUGGAGAAGCACUUCGAAGUCGGAGCGGAGCACACAGCACGCAGCACCCUCUGCCGCAUUAAAGGCUUGAUGGAAGAGGAAGGAAGUAAACAGUCCACCCACAGGCUGCUCCAUCAGGAGGUACAGGGCCAGGAGCUUUAUUAUGAACCAAUGAGUCUCACUCAGUGAGGUCUGGGAGUUAUUGGCCAGUUCUGUCCUUUUAGAAGCUUCUGGGGGGGGGGGUGUACACAAACAGGUCCCCAAGGUUGCAGCAAAGUCUGAGUGCAGGGGAUUUUGCUCUGCAGCCCCUGUGGACUGGUGCAGCCCAUAUUUAUGUGUUAGCAUCUUCUGGGUGGGAUUCCAAGCUUUGGGGGAAAUGUGGAGGGAGUGAGAGAAAUAGAGAACCCGGAGUCCAUGUGCGAGAGGCAAUUGGCUUCUCCAGGGUUUUCUAGAAACGUUUUAAUCUGGGGUCCCUGAGAUCCCUAGGUCCCUUCUUCCCAAGAGGUUAUCUGCAGGGAAGAGCAUGUGUCUUGUAUUUAGCAGAGCUGGUGGGAGACUCCUGUGUGCACCAAUAGAAUCCUCAGACGUGAACUGGGGUGUGCUUCUUAAACUCCAUCAUCUGGGUCACCUCAGAGGUGGCCUCUGGUCCCCUGGAUCCUAGCUGCCAUCUGGGGACUUGCAUUGCUGCUGCUGACCCAAGGGCCACAAAUUGAGCAGUACCUGAAGUCUGUACACCUCAAGCCUGUGGGGUUUGCUCCUGACUGACUCAUCCAUUCACAUACAUUCACAGAGCUGAGUCACAUACAUGCACAGAGCUGAGUGUCCAGUGCCCCUGUCCUGGGCAUCACAGAGUCUGGAAGCUGAGCAUUGAGUCCUAGGUCUCCACGAGUGUCUUCAAAUGUCCUGUGGAUAACGAUUCCAGGAGUUUGUCUGAGUGCUUCUGCGGUAGUUCUUGGCUGAGCGUGACUCUGAAGGUACUCCAGCCCCAGCAGAGACGAUGUCCGGACCUUUGGUCCCCCAGGGGUACCUACUGAUCAGCUAGGUGGAAGUGUCUGACCAUGACUACAGUCGUCGUUACCCAAGGAGUGGUCACAAAGACAAUUUCCAAGUUCCAUGUUUCCAGGGAGACUCUGACCUCUUGAUGUGAAGUGAAACCUGAGCGCUGGCAUUAAAAGCUGCCUGGGCUGCUCCCGGACAGGCUGGGUGUGGAGUGCAAAGCUGUGAGGAGCCUUGGGGAGGAUUAAGGAGCAGAUGCAAGGAGUGGUCGCGGAUUUGUUUCCUUUACCACAGUAGGCCACAGCAGUGUGAAGUGGUUCAUGAAGUUCAAUCAAAACAAAGUUCUUUUUUCUUUUUAAUUUCUCUGUAGUUUUGGUUCCUGUCCUGGAACUAGCUCUUGUAGACCAGACUGGCCUCAGACUCACAGAGAUCCUCCUGCCUUUGCCUCCCGAGUGCUGGGAUUUCAGGCAUGCGCCACCAUCGCCUGGCUUGAAACAAAGUUCUUAAUACCACCCCACUCCUAGCCCCCACUCAGACUCCCUCCACCCACCGCAAUAAGUGUACAGUGGACCAUGCCCUUCCUGGCCUAGGCAGGUCUCUGCUGGGGACGAGGGUCUCUGCUGGGGGCGUGGGAGGGGAGAAAUCUCCCCUUCAUCGGACCUCCAUCCCCACCAUGUACAGAACAAGUGGUACCCAGCAGACCCCCUGAAACCCAGUGCAGUCUUUCUGGCUUUACAGAGCCCAGGAAGAAAACUUGCUGGAAUGACUGUUUUUAAAUCACAAAUCCCCCAUGUAUGCACUGUUUUCUGAACCUGAGGGCCGACUGCUAGAACCUACAUUCCCAGUGUGUCCCAGGCACUGUGAGGGUUUCAGCUACUUGAGUCAAAGUGGACUUUGAGAAAAAGAAACGUCUUUGCCGUCUUUGGUUUGCCCGAGGCCUUUGCUGGGAACAGGAUCGCCUAAGAAAAGCUGUUCCAAAGGUAAGAGGCAACUGAGUAACUUUACCCGUGGGUGGUUUCUCUCAACGGGCUCAGAGCAAUGUGUGGAUCAGA